rnacentral:ncRNA from 2 species
UCGCCUCCCGGCGUCCCUGCUGGGCUAGAUUGUGCUGCGUGACCCGAUGAGGGAAAGCCGGUGUGAAACCGGAGCUGUCCCGCAACCGUGAGCCGCCAGCGCGGCAAGCCGGAGCACCUCAUGGGGUCCGUACUCCGUA